GUCUACGACCAUACCACCAGUAAAACUCCGGUUCUCGUUCGAUCACCGAAGAUAAGCCUGGUCGGGCGAAGUUAGUACUUGGAUGGGUGACCGCCUGGGAAUACUUCGUGUUGUAGACU
rnacentral:rRNA from 1 species